rnacentral:rRNA from 1 species
AACUUCGGGAAACCGGAGCUAAUACCGGAUAACAUAUUGAACCGCAUGGUUCAAUAGUGAAAGGCGGCUUUGCUGUCACUUAUAGAUGGAUCCGCGCCGUAUUAGCUAGUUGGUAAGGUAACGGCUUACCAAGGCAACGAUGCGUAGCCGACCUGAGAGGGUGAUCGGCCACACUGGAACUGAGACACGGUCCAGACUCCUACGGGAGGCAGCAGUAGGGAAUCUUCCGCAAUGGGCGAAAGCCUGACGGAGCAACGCCGCGUGAGUGAUGAAGGUCUUCGGAUCGUAAAACUCUGUUAUCAGGGAAGAACAAAUGUGUAAGUAACUGUGCACAUCUUGACGGUACCUGAUCAGAAAGCCACGGCUAACUACGUGCCAGCA